ensembl:piRNA 21ur-1582 ncRNA
UGAAUUCGUGCUUUGGAUAAC